AAAGGUAAGCUACUAAGAGCGAAUGGUGGAUGCCUUGACUGGUAAAGGCGAUGAAGGACGUACUAGACUGCGAUAAGCUACGGGGAGCUGUCAAGAAGCUUUGAUCCGUAGAUUUCCGAAUGGGGCAACCCAAUGUAUAGAGAUAUACAUUACCUAUAUAGGAGCGAACGAGGGGAAUUGAAACAUCUUAGUACCCUCAGGAAAAGAAAUCAAUAGAGAUUGCGUCAGUAGCGGCGAGCGAAAGCGCAAGAGGGCAAACCCAGUGCUUGCACUGGGGGUUGUAGGACUGCAAUGUGCAAGAGGUAAGUUUAGCAGAACAUUCUGGAAAGUAUAACCAUAGAGGGUGAUAGUCCCGUAUGCGAAAAACAAACCUUAGCUAGCAGUAUCCUGAGUAGGGCGGGACACGAGGAAUCCUGUCUGAAUCCGGGUCGACCACGAUCCAACCCUAAAUACUAAUACCAGAUCGAUAGUGCACAAGUACCGUGAGGGAAAGGUGAAAAGAACUGAGGUGAUCAGAGUGAAAUAGAACCUGAAACCAUUUGCUUACAAUCAUUCAGAGCCCUAUGUAGCAAUACAGGGUGAUGGACUGCCUUUUGCAUAAUGAGCCUGCGAGUUGUGGUGUCUGGCAAGGUUAAGCAAACGCGAAGCCGUAGCGAAAGCGAGUCUGAAUAGGGCGCUUAGUCAGAUGCUGCAGACCCGAAACGAAGUGAUCUAUCCAUGAGCAAGUUGAAGCUAGUGUAAGAACUAGUGGAGGACUGAACCCAUAGGCGUUGAAAAGCCCCGGGAUGACUUGUGGAUAGGGGUGAAAGGCCAAUCAAACUUCGUGAUAGCUGGUUCUCUCCGAAAUAUAUUUAGGUAUAGCGUUGUGUCGUAAUAUAAGGGGGUAGAGCACUGAAUGGGCUAGGGCAUACACCAAUGUACC
rnacentral:rRNA from 1 species